rnacentral:rRNA from 1 species
GACGAACGCUGGCGGCGUGCUUAACACAUGCAAGUCGAGCGGUAAGGCCCUUUCGGGGGUACACGAACGGCGAACGGGUGAGUAACACGUGGGUGACCUGCCUUUAGCUCUGGGAUAAGCCUGGGAAACUGGGUCUAAUACCGGAUACGACUCCGCGGUGCAUGCUGUGGGGUGGAAAGCCUUGUGCGGCUGGAGAUGGGCCCGCGGCCUAUCAGCUUGUUGGUGGGGUGAUGGCCUACCAAGGCGACGACGGGUAGCCGGCCUGAGAGGGCGACCGGCCACACUGGGACUGAGACACGGCCCAGACUCCUACGGGAGGCAGCAGUGGGGAAUCUUGCGCAAUGGGCGAAAGCCUGACGCAGCGACGCCGCGUGAGGGAUGACGGCCU